AACGAACGCUGGCGGCAUGCCUAACACAUGCAAGUCGAACGAGACCUCCGGGUCUAGUGGCGCACGGGUGCGUAACGCGUGGGAACUUGCCCUUAGGUUCGGAAUAACUCACCGAAAGGGGUGCUAAUACCGGAUAAUGUCUUCGGACCAAAGAUUUAUCGCGUUUGGCUGGGCCCGCGUUGGAUUCGCUGGUUGGUAGGGUAAAAGCCGACCAAGGCGACGAUCCAUAGCUGGUCUGAGAGGAUGAUCAGCCACACUGGGACUGAGACACGGCCCAGACUCGGACGGGAGGGAGCAGUGGGGAAUAUUGGACAAGGGGCGAAAGCCUGAUCAAGCAAUGCCGCGUGAGUGAUGAAGGCCGUAGGGUUGUAAAGCUCUUUUAGCCGGGAUGAUAAUGACAGUACCGGGAGAAUAAGCUCCGGCUAACUCCGUG
rnacentral:rRNA from 1 species